rnacentral:rRNA from 1 species
CUAGCUUACGUGGAGGCGCUGGUGGGAUACUACCCUAGCUGUGUUGGCUUUCUAACCCGCACCACUUAUCGUGGUGGGAGACAGUGUCAGGCGGGCAGUUUGACUGGGGCGGUCGCCUCCUAAAAGGGAACGGAGGCGCUCAAAGGUUCCCUCAGAAUGGUUGGAAAUCAUUCAUAGAGUGUAAAGGCAUAAGGGAGCUUGACUGCGAGACCUACAAGCCGAGCAGGG